CGUCGUUGUCGCCCCACGGCCGCGGUCGGUAGUCGCCAUGACGGCAGAGCCAGUCGACGGCGUCUUGGUGCCCGUUGCAGGCCGACACGGCGAGCAGGUCAAACCAUACGUCAAAGUCGAGGGUCCACGAGACGUCCUGCAAAAACGUCGCAUCGGCGGCGAUCAUGUGCGCGUGAGCGGCCCCUUUCGACGCAAACAUGCACGACGACCACGCGGACGCAUCCAACGCUCCAAAGGUGCGAGGGCGCUCCAGAGCAUAGGCGAGGCCGUCCCAGUCGCCCGCCGCGCACAGCGAAAAGAGGGUCGCCCAGCGGUACUUGCGCCUAAAGAGCGCACGACGGUCGAGGACGUGAAAGCGACGCCAGGCCAAUAGGCACGCCCCUAGAGAUUGGUCGUCGAUAUAGGUAUCGAUCAAGUAGACGAGGACGUCAUUCGGCAGGAUGUCGAUAGGUGUCGCUCGCCACAGGCAGUCGCCAUCGUCUGGUGCGCAGGCCAUCGUGCCGGGAACCAGUGCCAAAAGGAUCAAGGUCGUCCGAGAGCAGAGCCGGCUGUUGGUUGUUAUCACGCCGUGCACAAAGAAGGCCACACGAAAGCAAAAAAAAGAAACAAGCACCACCAGCGCUUGCGGAUCGGUUAACCGAUGACUAAAAUCCAGCAUUUUAAACGGA
rnacentral:lncRNA from 1 species